AACGAACGCUGGCGGCAUGCCUAACACAUGCAAGUCGAACGAGACCUUCGGGUCUAGUGGCGCACGGGUGCGUAACGCGUGGGAACCUGCCCUUAGGUUCGGCAUAACUCCCCGAAAGGGGUGCUAAUACCGGAUAAUGUCUUCGGACCAAAGAUUUAUCGCCUUUGGAUGGGCCCGCGUUGGAUUAGCUAGUUGGUAGGGUAAAAGCCUACCAAGGCGACGAUCCAUAGCUGGUCUGAGAGGAUGGUCAGCCACACUGGGACUGAGACACGGCCCAGACUCCUACGGGAGGCAGCAGUGGGGAAUAUUGGACAAUGGGCGAAAGCCUGAUCCAGCAAGGCCGCGUGAGUGAUGAAGGCCUUAGGGUUGUAAAGCGCUUUUACCCGGGAUGAUAAUGACAGUACCGGGAGAAUAAGCUCCGGCUAACUCCGUG
rnacentral:rRNA from 1 species